rnacentral:misc_RNA from 1 species
GAUGAAGAACGUAGCGAAAUGCGAUAAGUAAUGUGAAUUGCAGAAUUCAGUGAAUCAUCGAAUCUUUGAACGCACAUUGCGCUCGCCAGUAUUCUGGCGGGCAUGCCUGUUCGAGCGUCAUUUCAACCAUCAAGCCCCAGGCUUGUGUUGGGGACCUGCGGCUGCCGCAGGCCCUGAAAACCAGUGGCGGGCUCGCUGUCACACCGGGCGUAGUAGAUUUUAUCUCGCUCAGGGCGUGCUGCGGGUUCCGGCCGUUAAAAAGCCUUUUUUACCCAAGGUUGACCUCGGAUCAGGUAGGAAGACCCGCUGAACUUAAGCAUAUCAAUAAGCGGAGGA